rnacentral:misc_RNA from 1 species
GAAUGGGGCUGGCUGAGCACCGUGGGUCGGCGAGGGCCCGCCAAGGAAGGAGCGACCGACCGAGCCAGGCGCCCUCCGCAGACCUCCGCGCAGCGGCCGCGGGCGCGAGGGGAGGGGUCUGGAGCUCCCUCCGGCUGCCUGUCCCGCACCGGAGCCCGUGGGGUGGGGAGGUGUGCAGCCUGUGACAGACAGGGGCUUAGAGAUGCAAACAGACUCAGGGAGAGAAACAGAAGCUGAUUCUGUGACAGAAGCAGAUCUGUGCAGCACAGAUGCGGUGUGCGUGGGGAGGGGGUCGCCUGGGAGCGCAUUGCGGAGUGCUUGUGUGUGCAGAUUUUUCUCUGGGCUCAGGACUCAUUGUAUGUGGGUCAACACCUUCCUCCGUGACUGUGUUUUUGUUCUGAGCUGAGUUUUUUGGUUUGCCCUUAAAAAAAUAAUAAUUUGGCAUCCAGAGACUGGCAGACUGCCUCAGGGCCUGGACUGCGGAUAUAUUGUGUUCUGCUUGAGGUUUGGGGAGGAGGGCAGGCGGUAGGAAGGGAGAGGGGGAGCUGUUUGUCACACUUUGCUGUAGAGCUGAGAGCACCUGACAAGCUUAAGGAAGUCGUUGGGCUAUGUGGACAAGAAGGAGCCAGCUCCCAGCGGGUUCACAAGCUCUAUCGGAGUUGAAAGCGUGGUCAUGGCUCUAAGGAGCACCUCACGCCCUCCCUGUAGCUGUUAUUGCAGUUUCAGGCAGAGAUCCAGGAGCUGCAGAGGAAGGGAGAGGCACAAUAACCUACAUGGACCCAAGGGAGACAUGUGUUCCUUUAAAAAUGUGAACAGAAGGAAAAACAGAAUGUGUGCAACUGGGGGUCUGAGGAAAGACUGUUUUGAAAGAGGCUGUCAGGGAAUGGAAAGGGUUAAGCUUUUCAUCCUGAAGAACCUGCUUCCCAAAUCAGGCCUUCCUCCCAUCACUAGACCCUGAGCAGCAGCUGGUCCUAGAGACCCCCCUCGUACUGCGCUGCCACAGUCUCAUCCCAUUUCCAGCUCUGUAUUAACCACCAAGCUGCAGCGGAUGGGGCAAGACCUAAGCUCAUUAAUUUCCAGGUGGAGGAAAUGGAGGAGGGGCAGGUCCCUGCAGUAGAGGGAGGAGCAGAGAAAGGAGGCCAAGAGCUGGAUCCUUCUGCCCAGGAAGCCUGCUGCAUCCCUUCCCCCGAGCAUGGCAGAGGCCUGGCUUUGCAAGGCCAAGGCCAUAAGGGAUGCUUAGGAGAUUAAUUUGAUUCCUGACACAAUAAUCAAGCCCUAAGAGUCUCCACUGAAGCUUACUGAGGACUUCUUUCCUCUCCAAAGCCUCAGUCUAGCCUGCUAAAUAAAUUAGUAUUCAGUGAUGCCUUGGAUCAGGGCCCCUCCCCGGCCUCAGUUUCCCCAAAUAUUUAUUAAGUACCUACUGUGUGCAAUCCUUGUGUAAUUAUUACCUCUUAGGCUCUUCAUUUGCCCUCCUAAAGCAGUGUUUAGAGUCAGGCAGAGGUUAAGUGUGUUGCACCUCACCUAGAUACUUCCAGAACCUUCUCUGGGUCUGCAGAAUGUGGCACAACCUGCUUGCCCCCGCAGAGAGAAAGCUGCAGUGCACAUCCUGCAGACUGCAGGUGCUGGGCUGCCUCUGGAGUCCCAGAAGGCAAGCUUGGCUGCAGGACAGAAAGGGAGAACAGCUUCUCUCACCCCUGAGCCUUCACAAGCCCUUGUCUAUUUGCCGUUGCCUUCAAAAUAUACCUCCCCCGAAACCAGUAGCUUUCUGAGUCCUGGUGUCCCCUCCGCCCUUUCUGGACAGGUUUGGGAAGAAGAAAGCAGUCAGUGCUGGGCCUUAUUGGGGUGUGAAGCGCCUUGCUCUGCCCCUUCUGCUCACUGUGAAGGCCGCUGGAUGCUUCUCUUAGGCAUGGUUUAAGCCUCCGAUUACUAAACCCCUUGCCCCACAAACGUCCACAUUGACGAGCCUCUUUUUAGUAACUGCUUCCCCGUAAUUCCUUCAGAGGUUGCUGUACCCUUCGCUGAUGUGCUGCCCUCCUGUAAAACCUCCAGAUGCCUUCCCACGUAAUGCCCCUUUCAGAUGCUUUAAGCUGAGAGCUUAAACCACAGGUACCAUGGCUGACGCCUGCCAGGUUUCUGCUGCAGAUAAUCUAUGAUGGGAGGGGCAUAUUUUUUACUUCAUUACUUAUGUAAACUCUUGUUCCAGAAAGCUUUAAUGUGUGUGGGAGUGUUCUGGGUCUAUUAGGUCUGUGCGCAUGGGUGUGGGCAUUUGCCUGUGUCCACCGGGUGGGUCUCAUUAUGAAAUGUAUGUUUAUGUAGGGCUUUAAUGGCUGAAAAUGGCAAAGAGAUGAAUAGACCACUUGGCCCCAUGUGUAAUUGCCAGGCCCCUUCUGUGCUCAAAUGAGGUGUCCGAGUGAAGGUCAGCCCUUCCCUUCUGUAUUUGGGGCCUAUUUAUGCCACCAGUAAUUUUAUAAGAAAUCUGAAUAGUUCUCCCCUUUGAGUGCAUUUAACUCUUUAGUAUCUUCUCUCUUACCUAUUUGAGCCCCUCUAGCUACAGUCUGGCUUAAAUGAAAGGGGAAUUAUAUGCUUAAGAAAAAGUAGGACACGGUUGAGGCAGUUUGCUGACUGAAUACGCGAAGAAGGACCUGAUGGGCUCAUAUGCACCACUGCCAUCACAGUCCCCAUCGUGAUGCAAGCUUAUAUGAUUCUUGAGGUAACUCUACCAGAUACUUCCAGAUUUAGAAAUGUGUCAAAGGAAAAAUUGGUGAUACUCUUCUUUCCCCUGCCAGAAACAGCCCAGAUCUCCUCUUAAGCGGAAAAGAGAUUGACCUUCUAGCAGAGGCAAAGGUAAACUCCUAAUGGAGUCUUCUGGGGGCAGCUGCAAAGCGUUCUCCCUAGGACAGAUGGAGCCUCCCUUUCCUCAUCUACUCUGUGGGUGGUUUCAGGGCCCACGAGUCAACAUGAGGAGUUGUGCUGGUGGUAUGUGUGUUGGAGGCUGGGCUGGCUGAUUCACAGUGACGAGGAUGUCAAUAAUAACAAGAAUGAGAAUGAUGAUACCUAAUAAAGA